rnacentral:snoRNA from 1 species
UGUUAUAUGAUGACAACCUUCUCAGCUCACUCAGAUUUUAAAUGAUCGAUAACUUAUCCUAUCCAACAUUCAUCAAAUAGCCUGACUAAACA